GACGAACGCUGGCGGCGUGCUUAACACAUGCCAGUCGUACGGUAAGGCCCUUUCGGGGGUACACGAGUGGCGAACGGGUGAGUAACACGUGAGUAACCUGCCCACAACUUUGGGAUAACGCUAGGAAACUGGUGCUAAUACUGGAUAUGUGCUCCUGCUGCAUGGUGGGGGUUGGAAAGCUCCGGCGGUUGUGGAUGGACUCGCGGCCUAUCAGCUUGUUGGUGGGGUAGUGGCCUACCAAGGCGGCGACGGGUAGCCGGCCUGAGAGGGUGACCGGCCACAUUGGGACUGAGAUACGGCCCAGACUCCUACGGGAGGCAGCAGUGGGGAAUAUUGCACAAUGGGCGCAAGCCUGAUGCAGCAACGCCGCGUGCGGGAUAACGGCCUUCGGGUUGUAAACCGCGUUCAGCAGGGACGAAGCUUUUUGUGACGGUACCUGCAGAAGAAGCACCGGCUAACUACGUG
rnacentral:rRNA from 1 species